GAUGAACGCUGACAGAAUGCUUAACACAUGCAAGUCGAUGGGGAAGUGGUGCUUGCACCCUGGCAACCAUGGCGGACGGGUGAGUAACGCGUAAGGGACUUACCUGCAGGACUGGGAUAACAGGGGGAAACUCCUGACAAGACCGGAUAAUGUCAUGGAGCUGCAUGGCUUUAUGAUGAAAGGAGACGCCUGCGGAGAGCCUUGCGUCCUAUUAGCUAGUUGGUGAGGUAAUGGCUCACCAAGGCGAAGAUAGGUAGCCGGCCUGAGAGGGUGGACGGCCACAAGGGGACUGAGAUACGGCCCUUACUCCUACGGGAGGCGGCAGUGGGGAAUAUUGGACAAUGGGGGCAACCCUGAUCCAGCAAUUCUGUGUGCACGAAGAAGGUUUUAGGAUUGUAAAGUGCUUUCAGCAGGGAAGAAGUAAGUGACGGUACCUGCAGAAGAAGCGACGGCUAAAUACGUG
rnacentral:rRNA from 1 species